CCUACGGGAGGCAGCAGUGGGGAAUAUUGCACAAUGGGCGAAAGCCUGAUGCAGCAACGCCGCGUGAAGGAAGAAGGGUUUCGGCUCGUAAACUUCUAUCAACAGGGACGAAAGAAAUGACGGUACCUGCAUACGAAGCACCGGCUAACUAAGUGCCAGCCGCCACGGUAAUACGGAGGGGGCAAGCUAUAUCCGGAAUUACUGGGUGUAAAGGGUGAGUAGGCGGCAUGGUAAGCCAGAUGGGAAAGCCUUGGGCUUAACCGGAGAAGUGCAUUUGGAACUAUCAAGCUAGAGUACAGGGGAGGAAAGCGGAAUUCCUGGUGUAGCGGUGAAAUGCGUAGAUAUCAGGAAGAACACCGGUGGCGAAGGCAGCUGUCUGGACUGAAACUGACGCUGAGGCACGAAAGCGUGGGUAGCAAACAGGAUUAGAUACCCUAGUAGUC
rnacentral:rRNA from 1 species